GACAAUAGACAUCUUCUUAUACUCAGGUUAUAUAUUUGGGUUGUGAUGGCCAGAUGACAAUUAACAUAUGAAGAAACAGAAAAAGAUUUUUCCAGGUUAUCAUCCUGUUUUCCAUGGCCACCAGCAGUGGGUAUGGGAGAGUCAUCCUCCGCAAACUUGCCAGUGUCUCCUUUAGAAGCUUUCUGUAUUCUGGAUACAAGAAGACUGUCAUCUGAUAUACAAUUU